rfam:Fukomys damarensis contig144247, whole genome shotgun sequence.
AUCCUUUGGUUCCUGAGCAGGAUGAUUAGGUGUUCAUGCCAUAUGCAUGAGAUGUGGCUCCCUCAAACCUUGUUACAUUGUAGGCACAUUACCCAUCUGAUG